rnacentral:rRNA from 1 species
UACGUAGGGGGCUAGCGUUGUCCGGAAUCAUUGGGCGUAAAGAGCGUGUAGGCGGUCCGGUAAGUCCGUUGUGAAAGUCAGGGGCUCAACCCUUGAAUGCCGGCGGAUACUGUCGGGCUAGAGUCCGGAAGAGGCGAGUGGAAUUCCCGGUGUAGCGGUGAAAUGCGCAGAUAUCGGGAGGAACACCUAUGGCGAAGGCAGCGCGCUGGGACGGCACUGACGCUGAGACGCGAAAGCGUGGGGAGCAAACAGG